rnacentral:lncRNA from 1 species
AUAAAUUUGACUUUUGAAAAAUUAUGCUAAGUCUGAUAUAACAAAUGAGUACUCUAUUGCUUUAAAUACAUGAUAUAUUAUAUAUUAAGGCAUUUUAAAGGUAUUUUUUUGCAAUAUUUGAAUUUUAAAAGCCCCAAAUGUUGAUAGUUGAAAUUUCUCAAUUUUAACGUCUAAAUUUAACACGCAAAGUUGAAUAUAGAAUUAAUCAUAUUGUCUAUAAUAUAUAUCCUAUUGCUAUGAAACUUUGUAAGCAGUCUUGUAAUAUAUUAAGCUUUAGUCAUACCAAGUUUUAUAAAGAUUGGUCAACUUUUUCUAUCCUAUUAGGUCCGAGUACACAGUUAUCGUCCUUUGAUUUUCGUUGUCCACGAAUAUAGUCCUUAGUGUGGACAGUGUGUUACUUGCCAAUUUUUGUUAUACCCCUUCCAAAUUUAUUUCUCCAUGUUUUAUGCCUCAUAUAGCAAGUUGGGGGGGGGGGUGAAAUGACACUGUAAAAAAAGUUGGGUCAUAAAUAUUAAUGUAAAGUAGUGAUUAGGUCCAGCUGAAAAAGGUAAAAAAUUAGCACUUCGGAAGCUGUCAAAAGAUUUCAAGACCCCCUUAACAUAAGAUUGUCCAUAUUUUGAGUUAGAGCUGAUGAAGUUUUCUAUAAUUUUGAUAUAAUUUGUCCCAAAAGUAGUACAACACACUGUAAAAAUAUUAUUGAGAAAGCGCAGGUGGGAUUUUUUAAAUUUUCAUUUAUUGUCUAAAAGAAAUGCACUACGAAAUAACUGUGUACUCGGACCACUAUG